CUCUUGCGGACAGCAGUCAAUCUCUAUUAUUUGCAGAAAAGCUUAACAUAUUAGAGGUAUAUUUGUAAUUCAAUACCAAAGUCAUUUACCUAACAAAAGAUGAAGAAAAAUAAAGUCAUUCACCUAAUUAAUGAAAAACUAGAUUUAACCCGCCCAGGUAUAUUUUUCGUUUUAAUUUUCUUCCGAGAAACUUAAUUUUUAUAUAUAUAAACACAAAAACUUGAAAGAAUCGAUCCGUACCAAAAUAGAUAUCAGAAUACUUAUGUUUAAUUUCAACUAAAUCAACGUGUAGUAAUUGCUAAUAGUUAUAUUUAAUUGUCAAUUGAAAAUAUUUUUUAUUAGAAUAUCCAAAAUCACAAAUAAAUUAAAAUAUUCUUAAAGUUAUUAAAUAUUUAAAUCAGUGCAUAUAACCAUCUAAAAUAUAUAUAUCAAACAUAUUUGACAAUAUAUAAACAGUUCAUUAAAACCCAUUAAAAAUUGAAUAACAUUGGGCUUUUCCAAUUGCACACAUGGAUGAAUUAUAUGGAACAUGUCAUACAUGGUCAUAUUCCUUAUAAAGUAUAUUAACAUAUUUUUUUGGCGAAAUAUGUUACGGGGAUUAUAAUCGAACAUGUCAUCAUUUUUGUUACAUGCUCAAAUAUAUUAUAUAAACAUGGAUUUUAAUUAGUUAAGAUAAGAGUAGUGGAUCCCUACAAUAUAGGAAUAAAAAAGUGGUUUUGAUUGGCUAAAAAAGGAGAGGUUAUGAUAUACUAUGUUGCAUGGAAACUCGGUUGAAGGUCCAUUUCACGUUUCGGAAACGUUUCGGAAUCGGAAUCUCUCAGAAACUCGCGGAAACACAUUGGAAACUCGUUUCUUAAAAAUCUAAAUUUGGAAACUUAGUGGAAACUUGCGUUUCUAUUUUGGAAACUUGUGUUUAUGUUCUGGAAACGCUAGAACUUUCCAAUUGGUUAUGACUUAGUGUUAUGAUUUUUAUUUUAGUUAAACUAUUUAAUAUUUAAAUAUUGGAUUUUUGUUAUUUUGAAAAUUUUAUAUGAUUUUGAUGUUUAAUGAUGACUUAUUUUAUUUUCGUAUGAUUAAACAGAAUUACUAUUUGUUUAUUUGUAUUCUAAGAUAUACUAAACAUAAUAAAAAUAAAUGCAAAUAUUAAUAAGUUACAUAUAUAUAUAUAUAUUUUUUUAUAGACGUUUCUAAAACGUUUCCACAACAAAAAAAAAUCAAAAUUUACGUUUCCACAUUUCGAAACGUUUCAUUUCCGCGUAUCCGUUUCCGUUUCCAUUUCCAUGCAACCUAGAUGAUAUAUAAGGUUUCGUAUUACUUUUGUAUUUUGUUGAAUAAUGCAGUUAUUUUAAAAGUAAAUUCAGUUUAGUCCAAAGCUCCAUCCGGCUAGGCCAAACGAGAAAGGAAGCCACAUUUAUUAGGCUUGGAAAGAGAACCUAACAAGCCGAAGCAAAAAAGCGGGCCGAGAGGGAGGCUACACCAAGAACGUGGCUUCAGCACCUGCAAAGAAGAAAAGUAACAGCCUGCGAACAAGACCAAGGGACCUUCUUCGCACUGGGAUGACCGAGACUCAAGCAAGACGCCACAUCACCGGAACGAACCAACUGACCCAAUUUGAACUCUCCGGAUGAUCCUUGCUCUGGUACAGAGAACCUGCACCAGACUACUUUGCGCUUCAAGAUAAACCCCGCCUUGGAGAGAGGAGUAGAAACCCGAAGCGGAACUGAUAGCUUCGACCACGAGCCAAAGUAAACCACGGCUGGCGAAGUGAAGCCGGCAAGACAAAGGAAGAGCAGCCACCGGAAGGAAAAGAGUACAGCCAUAGACGACAGGACUCGGAACUUCAAACCCUAGCUGCACACGCCAAGACCAUAGAAGCGUAGAGACCACACAGCCACUGCACCACUACGCACGUGCCGGCCAGAACCUAAACCGCCUUCCCUGAACGAGAAUCACUCUUUUGACCAACGGCAAGACCCCAAGCCGCAGUGAAAGGAGGCCUCUUAACACCACUCCAUGACGAAGGACAAUCUUCGAAUAAUACACUGAGAAAAAGGAGGAGAGAGCCCGACGAAACUCCACGCGCCUCCAACCCGAAAGCUUCCGGAGAGAUCUACAAAUUAAAACUGAGAACCCUCCGAAGCCAAACCCAAAAAUCCGACUCCGCCUACCCACGCCGUCACCGCCUCACCAGAACUACAGAGCGAAGACAGCCAGCCACGGAUCCAAACCUCCCCGGAGCAGAUCUAGAAACCCCGUGGCGGAGCUCUUUCCACAGCACUAAGUAUCUCGACGGAUGAGAGGGAAAGGGCAAAACGGAGCAAACAACAAAGAGGGAGAGGAGAGGAGUAAGCCUCCGACGACCACGCGCCCGAAGGACGGCCGUCGGAGCAGAUCGGAGCAGCUUGGAGAAGAGAAAGGUUGUGGCUUUUUGUUUUAAGAGAGAGAAAACCUCCGGAAAACAAUAUAUCAAUAAAAUUCAAUGCCAAAAAACCUCCGGUAUAUUUUUUGUUUUACAUUUUCUUUAGAAAUUUAAUUUUUAUAUUUGUGUUUUUGUUAUAAAAAAAACUUGAAUUUAUUUGUAUCGCAGGAAUUUAAAUAAGAGCAAAAGUU
rnacentral:lncRNA from 1 species